rnacentral:rRNA from 1 species
UUGAACGCUGGCGGCAGGCCUAACACAUGCAAGUCGAACGGUAACAGGAAGCAGCUUGCUGCUUUGCUGACGAGUGGCGGACGGGUGAGUAAUGUCUGGGAAACUGCCUGAUGGAGGGGGAUAACUACUGGAAACGGUAGCUAAUACCGCAUAACGUCGCAAGACCAAAGAGGGGGACCUUCGGGCCUCUUGCCAUCGGAUGUGCCCAGAUGGGAUUAGCUUGUUGGUGGGGUAACGGCUCACCAAGGCGACGAUCCCUAGCUGGUCUGAGAGGAUGACCAGCCACACUGGAACUGAGACACGGUCCAGACUCCUACGGGAGGCAGCAGUGGGGAAUAUUGCACAAUGGGCGCAAGCCUGAUGCAGCCAUGCCGCGUGUAUGAAGAAGGCCUUCGGGUUGUAAAGUACUUUCAGCGGGGAGGAAGGGAGUAAAGUUAAUACCUUUACUCAUUGACGUUACCCGCAGAAGAAGCACCGGCUAACUCCGUGCCAGCAGCCGCGGUAAUACGGAGGGUGCAAGCGUUAAUCGGAAUUACUGGGCGUAAAGCGCACGCAGGCGGUUUGUUAAGUCAGAUGUGAAAUCCCCGGGCUCAACCUGGGAACUGCAUCUGAUACUGGCAAGCUUGAGUCUCGUAGAGGGGGGUAGAAUUCCAGGUGUAGCGGUGAAAUGCGUAGAGAUCUGGAGGAAUACCGGUGGCGAAGGCGGCCCCCUGGACGAAGACUGACGCUCAGGUGCGAAAGCGUGGGGAGCAAACAGGAUUAGAUACCCUGGUAGUCCACGCCGUAAACGAUGUCGACUUGGAGGUUGUGCCCUUGAGGCGUGGCUUCCGGAGCUAACGCGUUAAGUCGACCGCCUGGGGAGUACGGCCGCAAGGUUAAAACUCAAAUGAAUUGACGGGGGCCCGCACAAGCGGUGGAGCAUGUGGUUUAAUUCGAUGCAACGCGAAGAACCUUACCUGGUCUUGACAUCCACAGAACUUUCCAGAGAUGGAUUGGUGCCUUCGGGAACUGUGAGACAGGUGCUGCAUGGCUGUCGUCAGCUCGUGUUGUGAAAUGUUGGGUUAAGUCCCGCAACGAGCGCAACCCUUAUCCUUUGUUGCCAGCGGUCCGGCCGGGAACUCAAAGGAGACUGCCAGUGAUAAAUUGGAGGAAGGUGGGGAUGACGUCAAGUCAUCAUGGCCCUUACGACCAGGGCUACACACGUGCUACAAUGGCGCAUACAAAGAGAAGCGACCUCGCGAGAGCAAGCGGACCUCAUAAAGUGCGUCGUAGUCCGGAUUGGAGUCUGCAACUCGACUCCAUGAAGUCGGAAUCGCUAGUAAUCGUGGAUCAGAAUGCCACGGUGAAUACGUUCCCGGGCCUUGUACACACCGCCCGUCACACCAUGGGAGUGGGUUGCAAAAGAAGUAGGUAGCUUAACCUUCGGGAGGGCGCUUACCACUUUGUGAUUCAUGACUGGGGUG